AUCACCUGGGGAUCUCGUUGAAAUGCAGAUUCUCAUUCUCUAGGUCUGGGGUGGGGUGUGAGAGUCUGCCUUUCUAACGAGCUCCCAGGUGGUGCCCU
rnacentral:pre_miRNA from 1 species